GAACCAAACAAUUACAUCGUCAGAAGAAAACAUCACAAAGCAAUCUAUGGACGUUAUUGAGAGAGCAUGAUACACUACUCAAGUUGAAAAAGCUAGAUGUCAACAAAGUACAAUAUUUCUGGCAAUAAACGCAGGAAUUGACCAAGUGACCAUUUUACACAAACUGUUAUCGGUGGAUAACUUCGCGAGUUUUUAUUGAAUUCACUCAAAUACAUGCUUAAAAUAAUCGCUGUAUGUUCCUUUUUCAAAUAAACUUUGAUUGGAUAAAUUUCGAUACAAUACAAUGGCAAGAACUGCGAAAAACCUCAUUUUUGUAAUACAAUCUACAUAUCUUUUGCCCUGUUGACGCCGCCAUAUUGAAUAAUCAUGAUGGCCCAACGCGCACACAUAUAAUAUGUACGUACCUAUGACUACUACAUCUAUGGUAAAAAUAGAUAUUUUAAUAUGGCGCAAAGCUCAAAUUUAAACACGGUAAACAAUUACAGACUUGCAUUGUCAUGUUAUAUCGCAAGCUAAGCAAAGAAGAUAAAAAAUUGAACAUGCUUUGUAUAUUUUAACUAGUCUGAGGCAACGUAUUUUAAAAUCUCUGUUGUAAAAGCACUUCUACUUUGUUUUGAAAAAUGCAGCAACCCUUA